AUUGAACGCUGGCGGCAGGCCUAACACAUGCAAGUCGAACGAGUGGCGGACGGGUGAGUAAUGUCUGGGAAACUGCCUGAUGGAGGGGGGUAACUACUGGAAAAGGUAGCUAAUAACGCAUACCCACAGAUGUGCCAAGAUGGGAUUAGCUGGUUGGUGUGGUAACGGCUCACCAAGGGGACGAUCCCUAGCUGGUCUGAGAGGAUGCCCAGCCACACUGGAACUUAGACACGGUCCAGACUCCUACGGGAGGCAGCAGUGGGGAAUAUUGCACAAUGGGCGCAAGCCUGAUGCAUCCAUGCCGCGUGUAUGAAGAAGGCCUUCGGGUUGUAAAGUACUUUCAGCGGGGAGGCGUUACCCGCAGAAGAAGCACCGGCGAACUCCGUGCCAGCAGCCGCGGUAAUUC
rnacentral:rRNA from 1 species